GCUUUACUGUAACUUGAAAUUGAAAUUGGACUUUAUUUGCGCAGUAUAGGUGGGAGGCGUUGAGAAUAUUCUUGCGGGAUUAUUGGAGCCAUCAGUGAGAUACCACUCUUGUAAUGUUAGAUUUCUAACUUUGUAUCAUGAUCUGGUCAAAGAACAGUUUCAGGCGGGCAGUUUGACUGGGGCGGUCGCCUCCUAAAGGGUAACGGAGGCGCACAAAGGUUUCCUCUGAACGGGUAGAAAUCGUAUCUAGAGUGUAAAGGCAUAAGGAAGCUUGACUGUGAGACUUACAAGUCGAGCAGGGACGAAAGUCGGUCUUAGUGAUCUGACGGUGCUGAGUGGAAAGGCCGUCACUCAACGGAUAAAAGUUACUCAAGGAAAAAAAGGCUGAAA
rnacentral:rRNA from 1 species